rnacentral:misc_RNA from 1 species
AAUGUCGUAACAAGGUUUCCGUAGGUGAACCUGCGGAAGGAUCAUUAAAUGAGUUGUCCUGCACCCCUCUGGGGAAUGAGGUCUACGGGUGAGGCUCGGACGUUCAAAGCCCCCAGGGUCCCCUGUCUUUCCCACCCUGUGUAUACCUUCCACGUUGCUUUGGCGGGCCCUGGGUACGUCCUUCUGGGACACCCUGCCGGCGUCGGAUUUCGUCCCCAGCCGGCGAGCGCCCGCCAGAGACCCUUACCAUUCUGAUUUUUUCCAAUGUCGCCUGAGCAAAAAUCACAAAUAAAAUUAAAAG